rnacentral:misc_RNA from 1 species
ACACCUCAACUCUCAUGGUUUGCCAUGAAGAGCUUGGACUUUGGGGGUUUGCUGGCCGUUCGGUCGGCUCCCCUUAAAUGAAUCAGCUUGCCAGUGUUUGGUGGCGUCGCGGGUGUGAUAACUAUCUAUGCUCACGGUCGCCUGCCAGGUAACCUUUGUCGCCAAAGGUUUGCUGGUGCUUACAAACGUCUCUCCUCAGCGAAGACAACUGUUGAAC